CUGCCAAUUACACUAGAAACAUAGAGGGUCCUGCCUGCCCAGUGACUAAUAGUUAAACGGCCGCGGUAUCUUGACCGUGCGAAGGUAGCAUAAUCAUUUGUCUCCUAAAUAGAGACUAGCAUGAAUGGCAAGACGGAACUAAACUGUCUCCUUUUUCUGAAUCUGAAACUCACUUUCCCGUGAAGAGGCGGGAAUAAGCUCGCUAGACGAGAAGACCCUGUCGAGCUGAAGCAAAAUACGAACCUACCUAAAUCUUCUAAUCUGCUAAUUACAAUUAACUCUACUAAUAAGAAGACUGCUAACUUUUCGUAUGAAGCUUUGGUUGGGGCAACCGCGUAGAAAAACUACCCUACGCUAUCAAUUACUUUUUAAAAAGUUUAACCAAAGAAAAACAACUCUCUCACUAUUAAUAAUAAGAAUAAAUUGAUCCACUCAGGUGAUCAAAGGAAUAAGUUACCGCAGGGAUAACAGCGUAAUCUUCUUUGAGAGUCCAUAUUGACAAGAAGGUUUGCGACCUCGAUGUUGGAUCGGGACAUCCUAAAGGUGCAGAAGCUUUUAAGGGUUGGUCUGUUCGACCAUUAAAGUCCUACGUGAUCUGAGUUCAGACCGG
rnacentral:rRNA from 1 species